rnacentral:snoRNA from 1 species
UGGUCCUUACUAAGGCAAUUAGAAUGCAGUGUGUCAUUUGCUGGGGACAUGACCAUAAAUCAAUGUUCACUCGGUUUUCUGUCUGCUACCUUGCCAGCAGUCAACCUGUUGGAAACAUUU